GAGACUUUUAUAGCAUUCUUCUCCUAAAUUUAUAAUUGUGUUUCAGGUUUCGCGUCAGAUUUCAAAUAUUAGCCAUAGUAGUGUUCGAAAAUAGGGCUUUCGGUUCAUUCUAAUCGGGUGACGGGUGGUACAAAAACCGCCCAGAAAGUCCAUAUGAAAUCGGGGACCGGGACACCCUUAUAGCAAUCUUCUCCAAAAAUUGUAACUGCGUUUCGGGUUCGCAUCAGAUUUCAAACACUAGCCAUCGUCUGGUCCAAAAAUAUAGAUUUUAGGCCAUUUAUAUCAAGGGGUACGAAAGUCUCCUGAAAAGUCCAUAUGAAAUCAAGGACUGAGAGACCCUUAUAGCAUUCUUCAUCUAAAUUAAUCAAUGUGUUUUGGGUUCCGCAUCAGAUUUCAAACACUAUCCACCGUCUUGUUCGAAAAUACAGAUUUGGGUCCAUUUAAGCCUGGUAGUUCGAAAAUCGCUCGAGAAGUCUAGAAGAAAUCGAGGACCGGGAGACCUUUAUAGCAUUCUUAUCCAAACUUUAUAACUGUGUUUCGGGUUCUACGUCAAAUUACAAACACUAUCCAUCGUCUGGUCCGAAAUUACGGAUUUCAGUGCAAUUUGGUUGGGUGGUACGAUAAUCGCCUGAAUUGUCCAGAUGAAAUCGAGGUCUUGGAGACCCUUGUAGCAUUCUUCUCAAAAAUUUAUAACCGUGUUUCGAGUUCCGCGUCAGAUUUCGAUCAUUAGCCACCGUGUUGUUCGAAAAUAUAGAUUUCGGUCCAUUUUAGCCGUGUAUUACAAAAAACGCUCGAUAAGUCCUGAAGUUAUCCAAGAGACCACUGAAAAGAUUAAGGUAAUUAAGGAUAAACUAAAGAUAGCUCAAAGCAGGCAAAAGAGCUAUGUUGAUACCAGGAGAAGGCCUUUGGAGUUUGAGGAGGGAGAUCAUGUUUUUUUAGAGUUUACCCCCACUAUUGGCAUUGGAAGAGUGCUAAAGGUCAAGAAGAUAAACCCUCGUUCUGUUGGACCCUUUCAAAUAUAGCAGAGGAUUGGUCCUUCUACAUACAUAAUAGCCUUGCCACCCAAACUAUGUAAUCUACACAAUGUUUUUCACGUCUCCUAGUUAAAGAAAUACAUUCCUAAUCCUCACCAAAUUUUGAGUCAUGAGUCUGUCCAACUCAAGUCAAACCUUACUUAUGACCCAAUGCCAUUCCAAAUUAUAGAUAGAAGUGUAAAAGCAUUGAGAAAUAAAGAAAUUCCCCUAGUGAAGGUUGUUUGGGAAGGGUCUUCGAUAGAAGAAGCAACAUGAGAAGCAGAGGCAGACAUGCAAAGGGAGUAUGCUUACCUUUUCCAAUAGGUAAUCCUCUGAAUUUUGAGGGCAUUUUUUUUUAAGUGGUGGAGGAUGUAACAACUUAUCAAUUUUGUUAAUUUUAAAAAAUAAAAUAAUUAGUUUAUUUGUUUAAUAAAAAAUAAAAAAUAAAAAAUAAAAAAGAAGGGGCUUUAGACAAAUGAAGGGCAACGGCAUAUUUUCCACUAUAUAUAAAAGUAUGUUGUUUUUUGUUUCAGAAAACACACUCCCGUUCAUUCUUCUUCUCUCGUUACCGUGAACCACCUCUUUCAUCCUCUCAAUUUUCAACCUCUCAUUUUCAUUCAUUUUUUUUCUUUCAAAUUCGUUAAAUCCAAAAGCUUGAUAAAUCUCCUUACAUGUGGGUCAAAUUAUCAUAUUCUAAACAAAUGAUAAUAGGUCUUACACUCAACACUUGUAACUAAUAGUGAACCAAACAAAAAAAAAAAUAUAUUGGACAUUAGGUACUUUAUUCAUGUUUUUCAAAAUUUCAACAAAAUGUUAUUGCGACUUCGUUAAAGUUGUUGAAUUAUAUCCGCUUAACAACUUAAGCCCUUUUUUUUUCUUUAUAUGAUGAAAAUACAUACACUAAUACAACAAGUAAUUACCACUUUCAAUUUAGAUAAGUUGUUACAUCUAAAUAGAAUCCCCUUCUCUUUUAGAUAAGCACAUUCCUAAGGGGCAUAAUUUAGAUAAGUUGUUACAAUUGAAAAAGUAUUUUGUUUAGGGCAUAUUUUUCCACUAUACAUAAAAAUGUGCCAAUUGACUUUCCCCCUUAACUGAAGUCAAAAUCAAAGUAAUGCAUAAAAUUCCAAAAAGACAAGAAGAUUAGUAGUUUUGAGAAGUCAUUUUGUUUGAUUUCACUAUAUAUUUUAUGUUAUGUGACAAGAAUAACAUCACUUCAGUUAAAUAAACUAAAAAGUUGGUGUAAAAAAUGUGAAUAAAUGAUAUCACUUUGAAAAAGUAUUAAAACUUUUAUUUUAUAAAAUUUUACUAAAAUUCAAUUUUUUUUUGUUUUUGACCAAAACUCAUUUGCACUAAUUUUUUUUUCUUUAUGAAAUUCAUUUUAAUAAAUUAAUUAUAUUACUUAUUGAAUUAAUUUUUCUAUAAAUUAAAAAAAAUAUUAUAUAUUUUCAUAAAAUUGUAUUUAGUUUUUAAUAUUGAUUUUAAAAAAGUUAACUCUAAAAAGAGAUUUGAGCAUAUAAUUAUUUACAAUUAAUUACUGAAACUUAAUCAAUAAAACUAUUUGAUUACCUAAUCUUUGUACUAUUUUGGACUAGAAUACAUUUGCAAUAUGCAUUACCAAAAUUUAUUUUUAUGAAUAUUUUUCGUUAACUUAUUUGUUUCACUUUUGUAAACCAUCACAAAAUAUUACAUAGUUUUAGGAAAUUAUAUCAAUUGUUAAAUAUAAUUUAUUAAAAAAAUGAAUUCUAAAAAGAAUUUUAACUACACAAUUAUAUCAAUAAUACUAACAUAAUUUCAUAUAUACGCACUCAAAAGUAAGUCUAUUGUAAAUUAUUUUUUUACUUUUAUAUUGACCAAAAUAUAUUAUUUUUUUUAUGAUAUAAAAUUUUACUAAAUCUCGUGUAUUACUUUAUUACAUAACCCAUUUGCAAUAGUUUUUUUAAAAUUUUUUUUUAUGAACAAGCAUUUUUAUACUUUAUUUGUAUUACAUUUUUUGAUCAAUUUUUGUAAACCAUCGUGAUUCGUGCAGUGCAUAAGUAUGUAGUUUAAUUAUGUUUAAAUUAUUUUUUAUUAUAAGUUUCCUAUAAAAGAAUUCGAAAAAUAAUUUUAACAAUGUAGCUUUUAACAAUUACACGGGUAGAACUUCAAAAAAUAAAAUUUUAAUUUCGUCGAUUAUAAUUUUGCAAACUAGAUUUGAAAUUUUGAGUUAUUUAAAUUUUAAACUCUAAAAUAAGACAAAAGACACAUAUUUAAAUUUGUUAUAUUUUUAUUAUUUAUUUAUUUACAUAGAUAUUCUUGAAUAAUACAUUUUCAUUUAAAGGUGCUUCAAAGAGUAAUAUAAAUUUGAUUAAUUGGUUAUAGUAUAUACAAAAAAGUAACUCAGUAGAGAAUAUUUAAAUCAUUUUAAUUUUUAAAUCAUCGACAUUUUCGGUUUGCCACUCAAUUCUCAUGGUGAGCUGAUCAAUUUCAGUUCAAGUGGAAAUGUAGGGAUGAACCAGCUGGAGCCAUCAAGUCCAUUAGGAGGUUCUUUAAGUGGCUUGCCCAUUAAUAAUAUUCUCUGUCAAAGUAGUCAGGAAAAUUUAAGCAAUAAUGAGGUGCAUGUUGUUCAAAAGACAUUACCAAAAGAUGGUCUAAAUUCAUUUCCUCAUUAUUCACCCAGGUUAGCUGUCGCCGAGUUAUGCAGUCAAAGAGAAGAUAUCCAUCGACCUAAUUCCGAAAUGUGUUCCAGUCACCAUGUACAGCCACUGAAUUCAGAGUUCCUUAAACGCAACUCGUGUAUUGAACAGAACCAACGUGAAAGAGUGCAGAACCACAAUGGAAGCACAAUGGUUUCUCUGAAAGAUGGUUCAGAUCACAUCUCACUAAGUUCCAGCCCACCAACAGUGAGGUUAAUGGGUAAAGAUGUUCCGAUUGCUAGAAGCAGCCAAGAGAUGCAACAAUUUACAGGAGUUAAAAAAGUUGUUGACUUAUAUCCGGUUAACAAUUUAAGCCCUUUUUUUUCUUUUGACGAUGAAAAUACAUACACUAAUACAACAAGUAAUAACCACAUUCAAAUUAGACUAAUAAUUUUUAAAUAAAAAUGUGUCAAUUGACUUUUCUCCUUACCUGAAGUCAAAAUCAAAGUAAUGCAUAAAAUUCAAAAAAGACAAGAAGAUUGAUAGUUUUGAGAAGCCAUUUUGUUUGAUUUCACUAUAUAUUUUAUGUUAUGUAAUAAGAAUAACACCACUUCAAUUAAAUAGACUAAAAAGUUGGUGUAAUAAAUGUGAAUAAAUGAUAUCACUUUGAAAAAAUAUUAAGACUUUUAUUUUAUAAAAUUUUACCAAAAUUCAAUUAUUUUUUGUUUUUGACCAAAGCUCAUUUGCACUAAUUUUUUUUCUUUCUGAAAUUCAUUUUAAUAAAUUAAUUAUAUUACUUAUUGGAUUAAUUUUUCUAUAAAUUAAAAAACAAACUAAAAUAUUUUCAUAAAAUUGUAUUUAGUUUUUAAUAUUAAUUUUAAAAAAGAUAAUUCUAAAGAUUUUGUUCCGUUUUUGUCAAGGGGUACAAAAAUCGUCCAAAUGAAAUCGAGGAACGAGAGACCCUUAUAACAUUCUUCUUCUAAAUUUAUAAUUGUGUUUCGUGUUCCGCAUCAGAUUUCAAACACUAUCCAUCGUCUUGUUGAAAAUACGGAUUUCGGUCCAUUUUAGUCGAGUGGUACGAAAAUCGCCCGAAAAGUCCAGAUGAAAUCGAGGACCCGGAGACCCUUAUAGAUUUCUUCUCUAAAAUUUAUAACUGUGUUUCGGAUUCCACGUCAGAUUUCAAACACUAGCCAUCGUGUGGUCCGAAAAUAUAGAUUUCGGUCCAUUUUUGUUGGGUGGUAUGAAAAUCGCCCGAAAAGUCCAGAUGAAAUCGAGGACCAGGAGACUUUUAUAGCAUUCUUCUCCUAAAUUUAUAAUUGUGUUUCAGGUUUCGCGUCAGAUUUCAAAUAUUAGCCAUCAUAGUGUUCGAAAAUAGGGCUUUCGGUUCAUUCUAAUCGGGUGGCGGGUGGUACAAAAACCGCCCAGAAAGUCCAUAUGAAAUCGGGGACCGGGACACCCUUAUAGGAUUCUUCUGCAAAAUUUGUAACUGUGUUUCGGGUUCGCAUCAGAUUUCAAACACUAGCCAUCGUCUGGUCCAAAAAUAUAGAUUUUAGGCCAUUUAUAUCAAGGGGUACGAAAGUCUCCUGAAAAGUCCAUAUGAAAUCAAGGACUGAGAGACCCUUAUAGCAUUCUUCAUCUAAAUUAAUCAAUGUGUUUUGGGUUCCGCGUCAGAUUUCAAACACUAUCCACCGUCUUGUUUGAAAAUACAGAUUUGGGUCCAUUUAAGCCUGGUAGUUCGAAAAUCGCUCGAGAAGUCUAGAAGAAAUCGAGGACCGGAAGACCUUUAUAGCAUUCUUCUCCAAACUUUAUAACUGUGUUUCGGGUUCUACGUCAAAUUACAAACACUAUCCAUCGUCUGGUCCGAAAUUACGGAUUUCGGUGCAAUUUGGUUGGGUGGUACGAUAAUCGCCUGAAUUGUCCAGAUGAAAUCGAGGUCUUGGAGACCCUUGUAGCAUUCUUCUAAAUAAUUUAUAACUGUGUUUCGAGUUCCGCGUCAGAUUUCGAUCAUUAGCCAUCGUGUUGUUCGAAAAUACGGAUUUCGGUCCAUUUUAGCCGUGUAUUACGAAAAACGCUCGAGAAGUCCUGAAGUUAUCCAAGAGACCACUAAAAAGAUUAAGGUAAUUAAGGAUAAACUAAAGAUAGCUCAAAGCAGGCAAAAGAGCUAUGUUGAUACCAGGAGAAGGCCUUUGGAGUUUGAGGAGGGAGAUCAUGUUUUUUUUAGAGUUACCCCCACUAUUGGCAUUGGAAGAGUGCUAAAGGUCAAGAAGAUAAACCCUCGUUCUGUUGGACCCUUUCAAAUAUAGCAGAGGAUUGGUCCUUCUACAUACAUAAUAGCCUUGCCACCCAAACUAUGUAAUCUACACAAUGUUUUUCACGUCUCCUAGUUAAAGAAAUACAUUCCUAAUCCUCACCAAAUUUUGAGUCAUGAGUCUGUCCAACUCAACUCAAACCUUACUUAUGACCCAAUGCCAUUCCAAAUUAUAGAUAGAAGUGUAAAAGCAUUGAGAAAUAAAGAAAUUCCCCUAGUGAAGGUUGUUUGGGA
rnacentral:lncRNA from 1 species